rnacentral:lncRNA from 1 species
CUUCCAGGCUGCUUUGUUUACCUAAGCAAGCCUGGGCAAUGGCGGGCGCCCCUCCCCCAGCCUGGCUGCCGCCUUGCAGUUUGAUCUCAGACUGCUGUGCUAGCAAUCAGCGAGACUCCGCGGGCGUAGGAUCCUCCGAGCCAGGUGUGGGAUAUAAUCUUGUGGUGCACCGUUUUUUAAGCCGGUCCGAAAAGCGCAAUAUUCGAGUGGGAGUGACCCGAUUUUCCAGGUGUGUCCGUCACCCCUUUCUUUGACUCGGAAAGGGAACUCCCUGACCCCUUGCACUUCCCAAGUGAGGCAAUGCCUCGCCCUGCUUCGGCUCGUGCACGGUGCAUGCACCCAAUGACCUGCGCUCACUGUCUGGCACUCCCUAGUGAGAUGAACCCGGUACCUCAGAUGGAAAUGCAGAAAUCACCCGUCUUCUGCGUCGCUCACGCUGGGAGCUGUAGACCGGAGCUGUUCCUAUUCGGCCAUCUUGGCUCCUCCCCUAGACAAGAGAGAAGAUAAGAAGCUACUGUAAGACUCAGCCUAGUGUCUGGCAUUUCCUUGGGAUGAUUUUAAAUCUAAUGUAUAAAUAUGGAAUACAAAUAACAAAGUCAUUAUUAGGCCACUUGCUUAAAUGACAGAAGAUUAGUAACUGAAGGACAAUGAUGUUAAGCAGUGGUUUGGAUGUUGAGAGUUUGAUUCCUUCAGGGUUCCUGGGCCUUUGCCUGCAUACCCUCCACAGUUCCUCCCAAUGCUUCUCCUUCCUCUUGACCCACAAACAGGGCAUCUUGGAAACAGGGAAUUCCUCCCAGACUUUUGUACAUCGACGGUUGCAUGAGAGGCCAAAACUCCAUCCCCUAAGAUGAUGGUUGUGACCUUGAUUUGCUUCUUAACCUGUAUCCAAGAUGCCUCCUGCCUGGGAGAGGUAAAACAAUACUUCUUAUUGCCCAUGUGAUUUGGAUAUGUCAAGGAACCUCCUUGAGACUCAGAUGGUUUUUAGUUGUUUCUUUCUGUGAAAUGGGGUGGUUGGGAGGAUUUGGUGACCACGUAUAAAAGGGCUUUAUAAAUUAUAAAUGCUCUAUCGAGAGGUUGGGGGCAGACCGGCUCCUAACUGUGUGAAGUCUGAGGGAAGAGCAGAAACAAAGGCUCACAUACACAUCUGAAUUUCAAAAAGUUAUAAAAACUGCCAAGUAAACACUUCAAUCUUUCUGCCUUGACAAGACACCUUAUAAAGAACUGAAAGGCUGAAUUUAAAUGUAGAAUUUUUUGACUUCUUGUAGCCCUAUGCUGCAGUGUGACUUGCCUCCCCACACCUCUUCCCUACUUUUUCUCUCCUGCCACAAAGGCCCUGGGUUCACAGGUGCAGGCAUCACAGUCCAUGGUUCAAGUUCUGCCUCCUCCCCCUCCAAGCAGCUACUUCUUGGCUACCUCCUCACCCCCAUGGCCUAGAAGUGUUCCAGGACCCACAACAGGGAGCUUGGAGUGGGCGUGUUUAUGAUGCACAUGAUGAACCAUUGGGCUUUUUCUUUUCUUUGACAUGGAGCUAAAAUUUGUAAUUGUCAAGAUUUCAGGGCCAUCGUUUUGAGUUAUAAGAAGUGAGUAUCUUGAGACCAUUAUCCUAUAGCAUUUUCCUAGCCUAAAUGACCAUUUACCAAAGAGAUUUAAUAGCCUAAGAAUAAAUUUUGUCUUUGUAAUUUUAUUUUUUUAUACUUCUGCAGUUCUGAAAUCAAGUUUACUUUCUCUGACCUUUUCU